ACGCACGCUGGCGGCGUGCUUAACACAUGCAAGUCGAACGGAAAGGCCCCUUUGGGGGUACUCGAGUGGCGAACGGGUGAGUAACACGUGAGUAACCUGCCCUUGACUUCGGGAUAACUUCAGGAAACUGGGGCUAAUACCGGAUAGGAAUCCUUGCUGCAUGGUGGGGGUUGGAAAGCUUCGGCGGUUUUGGAUGGACUCGCGGCUUAUCAGCUUGUUGGUGGGGUAGUGGCUUACCAAGGCUUUGACGGGUAGCCGGCCUGAGAGGGCGACCGGCCACAUUGGGACUGAGAGACGGCCCAGACUCCUACGGGAGGCAGCAGUGGGGAAUAUUGCACAAUGGGCGGAAGCCUGAUGCAGCAACGCCGCGUGCGGGAUGACGGCCUUCGGGUUGUAAACCGCUUUCAGCAGGGGCGAAGCUUGUGGUGACGGUACCUGCAGAAGAAGCACCGGCUAACUACGUG
rnacentral:rRNA from 1 species